UUCUCCAGGACUGUCUGUUCUCUCAGUCCCCACCUCCUGCCGGCGUAGGAGGGGAAUCUGUUCCUUUCUCGAUAAUUGCCCCACUGCCUUCUAUAUUUGGAUCUAUGUCCUCUCCUCUCACUUGCUGUCGCUCUCUUGCUGCUUUGUCACUGUUAUUGAUUCACAUUCUCACUCUGCUGCAAAGCAAAACCAUCCAGAAUUGGUGCAAGGAAGAAGCAAGGAAGCAUCAACGGUGAGUGACGGAGGCGAGGCAGGGGUCUCCUCAGAUCUCCGCGCCGCAUCAGUAACAGAGUAAAUCUGCUGCACUGUCGAAAUGAAUGCUGGCGUUAGGAGCUUCUUUAGUCUGCUGCUAAUCACACACUUCAGCAGAGCCCAGAAAAUCACUGAUGACUCCAUCAACACCCCCCACCCUCCUGUGCUGUUCAGCGUCAGUCCCCAAUCCUACAUCAGCUUCCUGCUGCUGGGCCUGACCGUCGUCGUGUUCGGCGGCGUCUAUCUCUGGAUCCUCAGAUACGUCUGCAUCGGCUGCUGCCAGCCCAUCGCAGUCGGCGUUGAGUCAGAAUCCCUGGCAGGGAUAGUGUGAAGUCAUCAGCCCCUGUCUGAUUGAGUUGGGCUGAUACCAAGUCACACGGGACAUUUACAGUUCCAGAGCACUUAGUGACAGUGUCGAUGCUGGAAAAUAAGUAAGUAGGAGAAAAGUAGCUCUUUUGCUCUUACCUCUACACCCUGCUUACCUGAUAUCUGGCAAACAUCUGUUGUACAGUAUGCCUGAAAAAUCGCUAAAAAGCUAUUGAGCAGUGAACGUGAGACACAACUGUAAAGCUGGGUGGUAGAAAUUUAAGACAACGUUCAGCUAAUAAGAUGAUAAAAUGUUUUGUGUGUUUUCUUUAGGGUUUUCUUUGUACACUGUUAAAAAAAA